rnacentral:rRNA from 1 species
AAUUAAGCAUAUAACUAAGCGGAGGAAAAGAAACUAACAAGGAUUCCCCCAGUAACGGCGAGUGAAGCGGGAAGAGCUCACGUUGUGAAUCUGGCCCUCGGGCCCGAACUGUACUCUGGAGAGGCGUGGCCAGCCGCUGUCCGCGGCCAAGUCUGAUUGGAAAUGAGCAUCAAGGAGGGUGACAAUCCCGUCCAUGCCGCGGUAUCGACCAGCGCGCGUCCGGCCCGCUUUCGACGAGUCGAGUUGCUUGGGAUUGCAGCUCAAAGAGGGUGGUAAACUCCAUCCAAAGCUAAACACGGGGGGGAGACCGAUAGCGAACAAGUACCGUGAGGGAAAGAUGCAAAGAACUUUGAAAAGAGAGUUAAAGAGUGCCUGAAAUUGCUGGAAGGGAAGCGAAGGAAAGAAGUGUGCGGUUGCCCGGGCGCCAACCCCUACCUGUCCGCAGGUGGGGGUAGGCCGCCCGGCCGCGGUCAGGGGCCGCGCCGGGCUCGGGGGAAGAGCCGUCGGGGAUCGGUAGGCGCGCCGCUUCGGCGGAGCGUUGUCAGGCCCCGGUGGUGCCAUUCAUUGCCCUGAGCCCGGCCCCCUUCUGGCGGUCGCGGCUUUUCUUCACCCCGUCUUA